UGACAAUCAGGCUCCUGUCGGCGCCUAGCGUCUGGGCAGCGUCAGCCGCUACGUCCACCUUUUCCCUGUCUCUAGGGGUUUCUCCUCGCGCCGCUGUGUUCCAGCGCCGGCUCCGAGCUGGGAGGGUGACUGAGCCCUGAGCUUGGGCCCUCCGAGAGGUGCGUUAGCUCUGGGUCUUCUUGCCCCUACGCCCGAGCCUGGCGUUCUCUCGGCCCCCUCUUAGGAACGCUAGCCCUGGGCAGAAAUUGCCUUUGUGGCUGAAGUCGGCCAGCGUCGCGUUUCCACUCUCCCGCCGAAUCUGGACCCAAGCCAGCCUUCCCUUGUGCAUCGGUAGAUAGCUUGUGUUAAGGCGCCAGCUUCUUGGAACAGAGCUCUCUGCAAAAGUCGCGCUGAAGAAUUCAUAGUCAAAAGCUGAACUUGCAGAAGUUUCUACUUCUGGAAUGAGUGUUGAAAUGAGAUCAAUUCUGACAUUCAGUUUCGCUUUUGGGAUUAUGCCUUGGACUAACUCAGCUACUCUGAUGAGCUAAAGACUGUAGUAUAUUUGAAGGAAGACACGAGGAACUGUUUUGUAUUUUGUAGGGAUAGAACAGGACCUUGAGGAGAUUAUUAUAUGAAGACUAGUUAAAGAAACUAGCCUGGAGAUGGCUUAUGUACUCUCUCCUUUGUUUUUGUUUUGUUUUUUGAGACGGAGUCUCGCUGUCGCCCACGCUGAAGUGCAGUGGCGCGGAUCUCGGCUCAUUGUAACCUCCGCCUCCCGGGUUCAAGUGAUUCUCCUCCCUCAGCCUCCGGAGUAGCUGGGACUACAGGCAUGCAUCACCACGCCUGGCUAAUUUUUUUGUGUUUUUAGUAGAGACGGGGUUUCGCCAUGUUGGGCUGGCUGGUCUCGAGCUCCUGACCUCAAAUGAUUGGCCCGCCUCGGCCUUCCAAAGUGCUGGGAUUACAGGCGUGAGCCUCCGCGCCCGGCCUCUCUCCCCUUUGUUAUGGGCCCUAAAUGACUCUAUUUCCUCCUGCAUAUCACCUGCCCGACUCCUGUAGGCAUUUGAAUUGAUGAUUCAUGAUACGGUCUUUAGAGGCUCCAGAGGAAUUUGCAAAUUAUUAUCAUCCACUAAGUGAUUGCUGAUUACCUGAGAUACAGCAGCUCAAAAAGGACAAGGUCUCUGCCUAUGGGAGGUAUGAGUAGCCAGUGUGUUCUUUAGACUGUUGUUAAGCAUUAGGUGUUUUAAGAAGAGUGUUGAUAGAGACUGUUAGAUGAAAAUAACUUACUCUCCUCUCAUCCUUAGGAGCACUUGCUGAAGCGUGUAUAUAUCUGUCGAAUAGAGUGAAUUCUUAGUAACGGGGUGACAUUUCCUUCAUAUCAUCUAAAAUGUUCUCUCCUUUUUGAAAGCCACAAUAUCUUCAGUCUGUUAGAGCCUCCUUUCUUGAAUUUGUGUGCUUCUAUUUCCAUUUGUUACGGAAAGAGAGCUCAACGAAGAGGCAAAGCAAACAAAAAACCUUUGCCAAUUUUUCAGUCAUAACGAUAUUUUGUGAGCCUAAAUACCUGUACUUACACUAUUUUUAUACUUUGCGAUGGCUUUCACAGAAGGCAAAUAUAUUCCUAAAUUAUUAGAGGUAGUUUUACCAAGCAAGUUUAAAUCCAUUGUAUUCAGUACUUUGACUAGAGUUCAUUUAAAGUGUGAUUUGGAGUUACCCAUGACCUUCUACCCCAUUACCUUGAUUAACCUAGUGUUAGAUUAAUGCUAGAGGUGAGGAAUGGGUGAAGGAGAGGACUUGUGAACAUAAUUAGAUCUUCAUUUUGGAAGGUGAAUAAUUUUGGCUUAGAACACUUCUGACUGCAGCAUGAAGAAUAGUUUGUGAGUAGAUAAAGGCACAGAAGCCAUUUAAAAGCCCAUAGUAAUGUAAUGUGUAAGAAAAGUAGUAACCUGAACUAAGGCAGUAAUAGUAGAAAUGAAAAGACAUACUCAAGAUAUGGAACCUGGCAGAUGUAACUAAUGAUUAGAUGUAGGAGCAAAGGGGGAAGAUGGUAUCAGUGGUGACCUUCAGAUUUCUGGUGUAAAGUCCUGGGAGGAUGGUGAUAACACAGUAAAGAAGUGAAAACAAAUGGUUUGAAAAAUAGAUGUCUUGAAAGUCAGGUAAGUCUCACUCAUUUCACCCCUUCUCAGCUUGAUAAAACUACCUAAAAAUGCAACAGUUUCCUGACAGACUACUGGUUACAACACAUUCUCCCAACCAAUUUAUAUCCCUUAAGUUUUGGUUAUAUGCAACAUUAAUGUAAUUUGGCUAAUUUAAACCAAAUUAAAGGGGUUGGAGAAUUUAGAAGAAUUCUGGGAUAGUUUAUAUAACUUAAGGAAGAGCUGAACAACUAAGCUUGACAAUGGGAACUAAGGUGCUUCCAUGAUCCUCAGCAGCAUGAUCUUUCUAGAAUGCAUUGUAGGUGGCUUCCCUGUCUUUUCUGUGUAUCUGUUCAAGCUUCAAAUACUAAGACAGUCUAGUACAAUGUGUUUCGUUUUGUUUUGUUUUUUUGAGAUAAGAUCUUGCUCUGUCACCCAGGCUGGAGUGUAGCAGCAUGAUCAUGGCUCACUGUAGCCUCAACCUCCUGGGCUCAGCCACCCAAGUAGCCAGGACCACGGGCAUGUGCCACCACACCUGGCUAAUUUUACUUUUUAUAGACACAGGGGUCUCACUAUGUUGCCCAGGUUGGUCUUGAACUCCUCACCUCAAGCAAUCCUCCCACCACACAGCCUUCCAAGGUGCUGGGAAAUGUUUCAACCUGUAAAUUAGUUGGCCAUGGCCAGGGACACAAGUGGAUAUGGACAAUGGGGAAGUAACACAACAUUGCAUACCUACCUACCCCAGGUCAUGGAAGUUGCGUAAAUGUAGAGCAAGUAAAUUGGCAUUCAUAAUUCUGGGAAGAAAGGGGUCAUAAAACUUUUUAUUUCAUAGGGCUUGUGAUGGUUAAUACUGAGUGUCAACUUGAUGGUAUUGAAGGAUGCAAAGUAUUGGUCUUGGGUGUAUCUGUGAGGGUAUUGCCAAAGGACAUUAACAUUUGAGUCAGUGGGCUGGGAAGGGCAGACCCACCCUUAAUCUGAGUGGGUACCAUCUAAUCAGCUGCCAGUGAAUAUAAGACAGGCAGAAAAACCUGAAAAGAUGAGACUGGCCUAGCCUCCCAGCCUACAUCCUUCUCCUGUGCGUUUAUCCCCUUCUUGCCCUCCAACAUCAGACUCCAGGUUCAGUUUCGGGACUUGGACUGGCUCUCCUUGCACCUCAGCUUGCAGAUGGCCUAUUAUGGGACCUUGUGAUCAUGUGAGUUAAUACUUAAUAGGCUGGGCGCGGUGGCUUAUGCCUGUAAUCCCAGCACUUUGGGAGGCCGAGGCAGGCGGAUCACAAGGUCAAGAGAUGGAGACCAUCCUGGCCAACGUGGUGAAACCCCAUCUCUACUAAAAAUACAAAAAGUAGCUGGGCGUGGUAGCACACACCUGUAGUCCCAGCUACUCGGGAGGCUAAGGCAGGAGAAUCGCUUGAACCUGGGAGGCGGAGGUUGCAGUGAGCGGAGACCACGCCACUGCACUCCAGCCUGGUGACAGACCGA
rnacentral:lncRNA from 1 species